UGUGUAGGCGGUUGUUUAAGUUUGGUGUGAAAUCUCCCGGCUCAACUGGGAGGGUGCGCCGAAUACUGAGCGACUCGAGUGCGGGAGAGGAAAGUGGAAUUCCUGGUGUAGCGGUGAAAUGCGUAGAUAUCAGGAGGAACACCGGUGGUGUAGACGGCUUUCUGGACCGUAACUGACGCUGAGACACGAAAGCGUGGGUAGCAAACAGGAUUAGAUACCCUGGUAGUCCACGCCCUAAACGAUGCAUAUUUGGUGUGGGCAGUUCAUUCUGUCCGUGCCGGAGCUAACGCGUUAAAUAUGCCGCCUGGGGAGUACAGUCGCAAGGCUGAA
rnacentral:rRNA from 1 species